GGGGCUGCUCCUCCCUGCUCGCACACUGCCUGUGAACCUGGGUGCUGAACACUAAGGGGUAAGUUCUUCCAACCCCUUCCCUUGGGCUCGGCUAGUGGAAAUGCAUUUAUUGCUCCCUGGGCUGCCCAUCUUCUGAUUUGAGUAACCAGGGGCAGAGUCCCCGAGGAACAGCCUCCAAAGGAUCUCAAAGGGAUCCCUACAACGUUCAGCUGAAGUGAUCUCCUGAGUCCCAGCAGCCAGUCCCAGUACAAGGACUCGGUCUCCCAAGACCAGCAAAGACAGAAGGAAGCCAACAGACUGGGGCUGCUGCAUCUGUAACCCGGGUGACUAACACUCUGUUCUGCCACUGACAGUUUUUUGAAGAGUGCUGAGGACAGACUUGUGGAAUCAGCAGCGAAUGACCCCUAAAGGAUAAAGUGCUGUUAUCUUCCUCUGGGGUAGAAAAAUCCCAAUCCUAGUUUAUCUUUGCAUUAGAAAGAAGAAAAGGCUACCACAUCACGCCAGACAAUGAUUCAAACCCUCUAACAGAAGGGGAGUUAUUUGAAGAGUAACAGGCAUUAAACCUGCAGUUCCUUAACAAAAAAAGAGGACAGCUACUGUUAUUUUAAGAUCAUAUGGAUCUGUGACAGAUGAUCUUGAAUCCUUCUACUGAAGUUAUUUUACUCUAAGGACAAAGUUCUUUUCCUUGCUUACAUUUUUUUGCUGCUCACUCUCUGUGCUGCUUCUCUAUUUAGAGCUGUGGGGAGGUUUCUCAGCCACACUGCUUUAGGAAAUUGAACUUUGACAUCAGCUGCCACAGUGCUUUGAUUGCUGGCAACAGUACUUCCCGUGGAUGCUGACAGCUGGGAAGCACUGACGACCUACUGUGCUUGGCCCCUCUGUCUUCUUCCCUUUGAGUUCCUCAACAGGCACUACCAGAUCCUCACUGUCUCACCACCACGAUGGAAGAAGUCUGGGUUGUGUAUCUCUGCCUGGUCUUGCUUAUCAUCGUGCUUAUUCUGAUGAAGCAGAACCCACAUGUGGAAGAGGCCAAGAAACAGAGGGAAAGCAAAAGCUCCCCACCACCCUCUUCCUUUUCCCCCAGCAAUGUCGGCAAACAACUGGAGCACAGCCAGGAAGAGCUGGAGAGCUAUCUGGACAGGCUAACCCACGUCUUGUUUGACACAGAAACCAGGAGAAGGGAUGGCCUCCAUGACCAGAAGUCCCACCAUCACCACCACAGAAGUGCUGAUGUUAUGUCUGAAGCUAAGGAGCACCUGGGGAAGGAGGCAGCACAAGCCCAGUACCUGUCAAGCCACACAAGGGUGCAGGCCUGAAACAGCUGUUCAGCCUGAGACCAACACUAGUUAGAGGAGCAGCUGACAGCUCCAGCUUCCAUGGCGUGUGGCAGCAGCUUGCAGAAUUAGUGGCUUCACAGUCUUCCUGGAGGAGACCCAGAGUAAACCAAGCAGUUUGGUGGGGUGGGAUGGGAUCAGGGCAUCUUUAGGGGCAUAACUGGGUGAGGGGAGAAAGAGUACUUGACAGUGCAGCCUCUAGACAGACAAUAACUGCUCGUCCUCGAGAGGUGCCAGGACAGGAGCUCUGAGAGCAGGGGUGGGCUCAGCAGGAAGGAUAGGGAAGGGCCAAGCAGAUCCCUCUCCAGGGAGAAAAUCUCACAGAACAGGCAUCACCUGCAUCCCACUGGACAGGAUCAGUCACACUGUUCUGUCCUUUGUAUUCUCUCAUCUCAGUGCCACAAGGUCACCCUAUGUUUGGUACUGUCCUUCCAGGCAGGAUGCUGGUGGUGUUCAAAGCCACCCACCAGUCCUUUGCAGAAGGGGACAGGGAGGAGGCUGCAGCUUAUCUAUCUCUGUCCCUGCAGCAUCUCCAGGCCCUGAUAUCUGAUUCUGGGAGUGAGCAGCAUCUCCCAGCCAGGUGCUGUAAAACACCACUGCAGGACUUCACAUCUUGUCCCCCAGAUGGGCACAUCUCCCCUCACUCAGCAAUAAAUGCCCAGUGACUUUCAGCCUGCAAGGGACAAGUUAGCAGCUCCAAAGGCACUUUGUGGUGGGUAACAGGGAGGCCUCCAGGCUGGGGAGAGCAGCACAGGUUGGACUUGCUUUGCAGCAGCAGCAGCAUUAGAGGCACCGCUUGCUACUUGAGAGGCAGCAGCACAGGGCAGGGUAGUGGUAGAACAAGAAAGGUCCUGCCAGCUGCAGGGCUGGAGCUCAGGGGCAUCUCUGCUGUGACAGCAGAGCAGAGGCCUGGGCAGUGCUGCUCCCUUUGCCCAGGCAGAGACGGGCUGGGGGUGCUGUGCUGCUGCAGGCAGAGCCUGGCAGGGCAGCACUGCUGCUGCACCGAGCACCCCAGGGCCUGCCUGGUCCUCCUACAAACCUUCUGGAGAAAAAACAAUAAAUCCUGAGCUCUCUGGGCCUGCGCUGGUCAGCAA